UACGUAUGGUGCAAGCGUUAUCCGGAUUUACUGGGUGUAAAGGGAGCGUAGGCGGCGCGUUAAGUCUGAUGUGAAAACCCGAGGCUCAACCACGGGAGUGCAUUGGAAACUGGCGAGCUGGAGUGCCGGAGAGGUAAGCGGAAUUCCUAGUGUAGCGGUGAAAUGCGUAGAUAUUAGGAGGAACACCAGUGGCGAAGGCGGCUUACUGGACGGCAACUGACGCUGAGGCUCGAAAGCGUGGGGAGCAAACAGG
rnacentral:rRNA from 1 species